GACGAACGCUGGCGGCGUGCUUAACACAUGCAAGUCGAACGGUGACCUCGAGAGCUUGCUCUCGGGCGAUCAGUGGCGAACGGGUGAGUAACACGUGAGUAACCUGCCCCAGACUCUGGAAUAACCCCGGGAAACCGGAGCUAAUACCGGAUACGAGACGGAGUCGCAUGGCUACCGUCUGGACAGUUGUUCGGUCUGGGAUGGACUCGCGGCCGAUCAGCUAGUUGGUGAGGUAACGGCUCACCAAGGCGACGACGGGUAGCCGGCCUGAGAGGGCGACCGGCCACACUGGGACUGAGACACGGCCCAGACUCCUACGGGAGGCAGCAGUGGGGAAUAUUGCACAAUGGGCGAAAGCCUGAUGCAGCGACGCCGCGUGAGGGAUGACGGCCUUCGGGUUGUAAACCUCUUUCAGCAGGGAAGAAGCGAAAGUGACGGUACCUGCAGAAGAAGCACCGGCUAACUACGUGCCAGCCGCCGCGGUAACAC
rnacentral:rRNA from 1 species